rnacentral:rRNA from 1 species
UACGGAGGGUGCAAGCGUUAUCCGGAUUUACUGGGUUUAAAGGGAGCGUAGGUGGGUCGGUAAGUCAGUGGUGAAAUCUUCGAGCUUAACUCGGAAACUGCCAUUGAUACUAUCGAUCUUGAAUUAUCUGGAGGUAAGCGGAAUAUGUCAUGUAGCGGUGAAAUGCUUAGAUAUCGUCAAGAACACCUAUAGCGAAGGCAGCUAACUAAACUUUAACUGACGCUGAGGCACGAAAAGUGUGGGGAUCAAACAGG